rnacentral:rRNA from 1 species
CUACGGGAGGCACCAGUGAGGAAUAUUGCACAAUGGGGGGAACCCUGAUGCAGCAACGCCGCGUGGAGGAUGACGCAUUUCGGUGUGUAAACUCCUUUUAUAUGUCAAGAAAAUGACGGUAGCAUAUGAAUAAGCACCGGCUAACUCCGUGCCAGCAGCCGCGGUAAUACGGAGGGUGCAAGCGUUACUCGGAAUCACUGGGCGGAAAGGACGCGUAGGCGGGUUGGAAAGUCAGGUGUGAAAUCCUACAGCUUAACUGUAGAACUGCACUUGAAACUUCUAAUCUAGAGUAUGGGAGGGGGAGAUGGAAUUAGUGGUGUAGGGGUAAAAUCCGUAGAUAUCACUAGGAAUACCUAAAGCGAAGGCGAUCUCCUGGAACAUUACUGACGCUAAGGCGUGAAAGCGUGGGGAGCAAACAGGAUUAGAUAUCCGGGUAGUC